CUAGAGAAGAAAAAAGAAUUCACUCCGUGUCAUGGAGUAAAAUGUGCCAAAGGAAAUCAAGAGGUGGGAUGGGCGUAUUGGCCAAACAGCUUGGAGAUUGUUGAAGAACCCUACUUCUUUGCUAGCUCAGGUUUUAAAAGGUAAAUAUUUCACAUCAUCGAACAUUCUUGAAAGGUAAAUAUUUCACAUCAUCUAACAUUCUUGCAAGUCACAGGGGAUCGGGUGGCAAUGGUAUAUCUGAGACAAUUGGUGAGGAUCCAUAGUUACACACUACCUUUCCAUUUCGUCCUUCGUUGUUGGCGUCCUCAAAUAUAGCAAAGAAGAUGGUAGAUUAUUUAAUUGAUCGGUGCUUCAAAUCAUGGAAAAUCGUCUUGCUUCACCAUCAUUUCCCACCGGAUCAAGUUGCACGAACAAUUAAGAUCCCUUUGAGCAUUCGUGAUAAAGAAGAUAAACUAUUCUGACAUUUUCAUGCAUCUGGUAAUUACUCAGUUGGGUUAGGCUACUUUGCAUGGUAAUCAUCAUUUUCUUUAUUAAUAGAGUCUCCCUUAAUCAACAUUCAAUAUCUCGUUGUAAGCAUCUUUGGAAAAUGAAGCUCCCUAGGGUUUUCUCCUGCUAAAGGUGUUUAUGUGGAAAAGUUUAUUUAACGCUCUACCAGUUGGUCACGUGCUAUACAAUCUUCUAGGGUUUUCUCCUGUUUGUCUGAGAUGUGGCAAUAUUGAAUCACUAGUGCAUUUACUUUUCACUGCCCCACAGCUCAGUAGGUUUGGUGCUCCUCAUCCCUGGGUUUAAUAUCAAUGACAAUGCUUGAGUCAGAAUUUGCCUUGUGCUGGGACAAGAUAAAAAUAGAUCUCCACAACCUUCAAGCAGAGGAUUUUUCUCUAAAGUUUGCGGUAUUCAUUCUCUAGAGGUUGCGGAAGGCCUAGAAUAAUCUUGCCUUCAAUGAUUCUAAAGUCUCAGCUGCUUCAAUAGUUAGACUAGCAACCAAGAUGCAUUUGAGUUUCAGGCAGCUUAUAGGGAUGUAUUUCCUAGUUUACUAGAGACUACUCUUCGAGAAAAUGCGAGGGAAACCACCAUGGGGGAAGAGUUUGUCAAAAUAAAUUUUGAUGCUGGAUGCAGACCAGACUCGAGGAAGCUCCGGUUUUAUUGCAUGCAACUAUCAAGUAAUCAAAAUAAAGUCAAGUUCUAAGAUAUAUAUCGAUAUCAACCAACAUUUCAUUCUAGAAAGCAUGGCAUUGAGAGACUGUAUGGUUUGGGCUAGGAGCAUAGGUUGGAAUUAGGUGAUAACUGGAGGAGAUCCUUUGCAGGUAUCC
rnacentral:lncRNA from 1 species